CUUCGGGUCGUAAAGCUCUGUAGAGGGGGAAGAAAAUAGACGGUACCCCUUAAUAAAGCCCCGGCUAACUACGUGCCAGCAGCCGCGGUAAUACGUAGGGGGCAAGCGUUGUCCGGAAUUACUGGGCGUAAAGGGCACGCAGGCGGUCAUCUAAGUCAACUGUGAAAAUCCAUGGCUCAACUGUGGACUUGCAGUAGAAACUGGCUGACUUGAGUCCAGGAGAGGGGAGUAGAAUCUUCGGUGUAGCGGUGAAAUGCGUAGAUAUCGAGGGGAAUACCAGUGGCGAAGGCGACUCCCUGGCCUGAGACUGACGCUCAUGUGCGAAAGCGUGGGUAGCGAACAGGAUUAGAUACCCUGGUAGUCCACGCCGUAAACGCUGGGUACUAGGUGUUGUGGGUUUAGAUACCCUCAGUGCCGGAGUAAACGCAUUAAGUACCCCGCCUGGGGACUACGGUCGCAAGACUGAAACUCAAAGGAAUUGACGGGGGCCCGCACAAGCGGUGGAGCAUGUGGUUUAAUUCGAAGCAACGCGAAGAACCUUACCAGGGCUUGACAUAUAGCUGACCGGUAUAGAGAUAUACCCUUUUCUUCGGAGACAGUUAUACAGGUGGUGCAUGGUUGUCGUCAGCUCGUGUCGUGAGAUGUUGGGUUAAGUCCCGUAACGAGCGCAACCCUUGUACUUAGUUGCCAUCACUUCGGGUGGGCACUCUAAGUAGACUGCCGGUGAU
rnacentral:rRNA from 1 species